AGUUUCCCUGGCUUGUCUGGACAGGUCAUUUCUCUGCCUUAUCCACAUGUUGAACAGAGUUUAAAGCCUGAAGUCUGCUCCUGCUGACAUGAUGCAUGGUCUCCUGAAUUCAGCUGUCGCCUCUGCUUAAGUGUACAGCUGAAUGAAAAUAAAAGAAUCUCUAGCUCUAUUUUCUUCACAUUAUUAAACAGAAGAACUUGUAAGCAACCUUACUUACACAGCUGGCCCCGUGCUUGGCCCCAGGAAGAAUGCAAUUCCUGACUCCAAUGCAAAGAACUUCUAAAAGGCGGAGGCAUGCGAGGACAGAGCAACAAGGCAGCCACUGCAAAGAAGAAUGGAAGAAGGCUCUCAGCAGAGCCCAGCCAUGCCAGCACCCUGACCUCAGACUGCCCAGGCUCAGAUCUGUGAUGAACAAACUUUGUUGUUUAAGCCACACAGUCUUAUGGUAGUUUGUGACAGCAGCCUGAAUCACUGAGACACAGAGAUACUUCAUUUUGCAGUUUCCUCACCUGGAGAAGAUGAUCAUGUCUAGUUCACAGGGCUGUUCUAAGCAUUAAAUGGAAUGUUGUAGGUGGAGCACUUCGCGUAGUGCUCACUACACAGUAAGAAGUAAGGACUCAUUCGCUUGCUCAUGCUAAUGGAUGGGCGCUCUCUAACGAGACCGUAGAAAACUCU